CCUCUCUUUGUUGACAUUCAUGUGGUUGUUCAGUACACAUGUAUGUAAUGGGUGGGAGGUAAAGGCAAUCCAGUGCUAUGUCUUCGGUGCCAGCAUGUUUAUUGUCUGCUGGUUCUAUCCUCAAUCACUGGAACAACC